ncrna:unclassified sequences Hairpin-meta2 ribozyme sequence
UAAAUGGGUUAAUGCUACCCAGGGCUGUCCACCAUACCGUGAGAUGGCUACACGAGAGGUCCCAAGACUGCAUCAAUCGGCCGAGAUGCGUAAGACCGAUGGCAAGUUAAAUCUUUGAGAGUCUUGUCGCAUACGGACGUGCAAACCCGGAGAAUGGGGUGGGACUCCUCUGAAAUCCGGUGCGCUUCAUUUGGUGGGAAGCCCAAACAAGUUGAAACACGCUGACUGUUGUCGCGUUGGCGGUAUAUUAUACUUGA